CGACGAUGCGUAGGGGUUCUGAGAGGAAGGCCCCCCACACUGGGACUGAGACACGGCCCAGACUCCUACGGGAGGCAGCAGUGAGGAAUAUUGGUCAAUGGGCGGAAGCCUGAACCAGCCAAGUCGCGUGAGGGAUUAAGGCCCUGCGGGUCGUAAACCUCUUUUGCCGGGGAGCAGUGGUCCGGACGCGUCCGGGCCGGGAGAGUACCCGGAGAAAAAGCAUCGGCUAACUCCGUGCCAGCAGCCGCGGUAAUACGGAGGAUGCGAGCGUUAUCCGGAUUUAUUGGGUUUAAAGGGUGCGUAGGCGGGCAUUUAAGCCGGCGGUCAAAUGUCGGGGCUCAACCCCGGCCUGCCGUCGGAACUGGGUGCCUUGAGUGGGCGAGAAGUAUGCGGAAUGCGUGGUGUAGCGGUGAAAUGCAUAGAUAUCACGCAGAACCCCGAUUGCGAAGGCAGCAUACCGGCGCCCUACUGACGCUGAGGCACGAAAGUGCGGGUAUCGAACAGGAUUAGAUACCCUGGUAGUCCGCACAGUAAACGAUGGAUGCUAUCUGUCCGGGCCGAAUGAGGCCUGGGUGGC
rnacentral:rRNA from 1 species